rnacentral:rRNA from 1 species
GAUGAACGCCAGCGGCAGGCCUAAUACAUGCAAGUCGAACGAGAUCCAGGAGCUUGCUCCUGGUGAAAGUGGCGCACGGGUGCGUAACGCGUAUGCAACCUACCUUAAUCAGGGGGAUAGCCUCUCGAAAGAGAGAUUAACACCGCAUAAAAUCACAAGCUGGCAUCAGCAAAUGAUCAAAUAUUUAUAGGAUUAAGAUG